UGAACAUUGAGCCUUGAUGUGUAGGAUAGGUGGGAGGCUUUGAAGUGUGGACGCCAGUCUGCAUGGAGCCGACCUUGAAAUACCACCCUUUAAUGUUUGAUGUUCUAACGUGGACCCGUAAUCCGGGUUGCGGACAGUGUCUGGUGGGUAGUUUGACUGGGGCGGUCUCCUCCUAAAGAGUAACGGAGGAGCACGAAGGUUGGCUAAUCCUGGUCGGACAUCAGGAGGUUAGUGCAAUGGCAUAAGCCAGCUUGACUGCGAGCGUGACGGCGCGAGCAGGUGCGAAAGCAGGUCAUAGUGAUCCGGUGGUUCUGAAUGGAAGGGCCAUCGCUCAACGGAUAAAAGGUACUCCGGGGAUAACAGGCUGAUACCGCCCAAGAGUUCAUAUCGACGGCGGUGUUUGGCACCUCGAUGUCGGCUCAUCACAUCCUGGGGCUGAAGUAGGUCCCAAGGGUAUGGCUGUUCGCCAUUUAAAGUGGUACGCGAGCUGGGUUUAGAACGUCGUGAGACAGUUCGGUCCCUAUCUGCCGUGGGCGCUGGAGAACUGAGGGGGGCUGCUCCUAGUACGAGAGGACCGGAGUGGACGCAUCACUGGUGUUCGGGUUGUCAUGCCAAUGGCACUGCCCGGUAGCUAAAUGCGGAAGAGAUAAGUGCUGAAAGCAUCUAAGCACGAAACUUGCCCCGA
rnacentral:rRNA from 1 species